rnacentral:rRNA from 1 species
GACGAACGCUGGCGGCGCGCCUAAAACAUGCAAGUCGAACGAGAAGCCCGGGCUUGCCCGGGUGGACAGUGGCGAACGGGUGAGUAACACGUGAGGAACCUGCCCCGAAGACCGGGACAACACCGGGAAACCGGUGCUAAUACCGGAUACCUUCGCCGGAUCGCAUGGUCUGGUGAAGAAAUGGAUUCCGCUUCGGGAUGGCCUCGCGCCCUAUCAGCUUGUUGGUGAGGUAACGGCUCACCAAGGCGACGACGGGUAGCUGGUCUGAGAGGAUGUCCAGCCACACUGGGACUGAGACACGGCCCAGACUCCUACGGGAGGCAGCAGUUAGGAAUCUUGCGCAAUGGACGAAAGUCUGACACAGCGACGCCGCGUGCGGGAUGAAGGCCCUCGGGUUGUAAACCGCUUUCAGCAGGGACGAAAUUGACGGUACCUGCAGAAGAAGCCCCGGCCAACUACGUGCCAGCAGCCGCAGUAA